rnacentral:precursor_RNA from 8 species
AACCGUGCUAACCCUCCCAGCGUCAGGGUCUUUUCCAAUGAGUUAGUCCUUUGGGCACUGAUGCGAAGAACUAACUCAUUGGAAGAGACCCUGAUGCUGAGAAAAAUUGAAGGCAGGA